AGGGGAAGUCUAACAAAUUGGAAGUGCAGAUGAAGGAAUGACACUUCUGCAGGUAUAGAAAUGCAUACAACUUCUUUCACUGCAAUCCCCACCUGAUACAUAUGCAAUCACCUCUGCUGCUGCCAGGAUCUGCAGGCACCUGAAGCACUAAGAUUGAACUGAACACUGCUUUCUCAAUGAACAGCCCACCAGCCCACCUCACACAUUUCAGCUAUAGCAAACGCACUGACCAAACGUAUGCAAAUAUUUCUGUUUGAGUACAACCGGAUGCUUGCUGAAUGACAGCGUGCAGAUGUGCCUUUGAAGAACCUAGGAACAGAUGGGACAGAGAGUAAAGCCCUUCCAUGAUUUCCUAAUAAUCCAGACAAAGAUUUCACCUUCACUAUUUUAGAAAUAGCCUUCUAGAGACAUUUCAGGGUCUGUCUCAGAUGACUUAACCUUUCCACAUUGAAAAACAGUUUGUCGCCUGUGAAGCUGAGGUUUCGAUGCAAAAUACACGCGCAAGAAAUCCUGGUUUUGGAUAUCCAUUUUUCUUACUAAGAUGACAACAUUCACACUGCAUACACUGGACGCUGGGUGAUAUUAGUAAUUUCUGUUUUUGUGAGGAUGGCGAGGUAAACCCAGAAAGACAUUUUCUAUUUUUGGUGGUGAACAAAAUGCUUUUCUUAGGAAACAAUUCACAUUUGAAUUUUCUGUCGCAAGACACACAUUUUAGCUGAACUUCAAUAAAG